rnacentral:rRNA from 1 species
AUGCCGACGAAGAUCGGCGCCCCGAGCCCCGACCCCAACCAGUGGAGACCGGCGCCCCAUGCCGCCGUCCUCGACCCUCCGUCAGUCGCUCCACUGCCCACGACACGGCCGUCCGCCGCCGGUGACGACCGCCGCAUCGAGGCGCGCGGCGCGCCCCUGACCGAUGAAGAUCAACACCUCGAGCCAAGGCCCCAACCAGUUGAGACUGGCGCCCCAACCAGUUCAAAAAAGACAAUUGAAGAAUUUGGGGACAAGGUGAAGGGAAAGCACAAGGUCCAUGGUGGUGCCGAAAUUGAUUUGUUUGAUGUCAAGUACUAUGUUAUCAACUACUAA